rnacentral:rRNA from 1 species
UAGGGAAUCUUCCACAAUGGGCGAAAGACCUGAUGGAGGCAACGCCGCGUGUGUGAUGAAGGGUUUCGGCUCGUAAAACACUGUUGUAAGAGAAGAAUGACAUUGAGAGUAACUGUUCAAUGUGUGAUGGUAUCUUACCAGAAAGGAACGGCUAAAUACGUGCCAG